AUAAAAUUUACCUUGAAGGAAAAAAAUAUUGAACACUAGCUAAUGGCAUGUGUGCAAAGUGUUUAGGGGGAAGUAUGCUGAGAAGUCUGCAACUUUCCUUGAAAUACAUUCCCCCAAAAUAAGAUGGAUUGGAUGGUUACAGAGAUGGAUAGAUGGAAAAUAAGUAUAAGUAAUAGGUUAAUGGUAGAAUCGAGGUAGUGGGCAUAAGGGUGUUUUCUGUAAAAUAUCUUGAACAAGACCUUGUCUCAAUUUUAAAAAGAAGAGGGUGCAAGGUGGCCUUUUGACAAGGGACUGAUCCCGAAAGGAGCCUAUAAGGGUUAUGGGGCAUGGAACGGUGCUGACGUGUGGGCACAGAACAGAGCUCUUCUACCACUCCUGGGCCAAAGGGCAAGGGCAGGCAGCCGUUCCCGUGCCUGGGGAUGGAGGGCUCCAGGAGGGACCUUCCCCAACCAGAGCUGAGACCGGGCUCUGAGGGAAGCCGCCCACUCAGGCCCCUCUGGGAGAUCAGUCUGUAAACAACCGCUCUUAUGCCAGGUGACAUCCUGACAUGUAUGUCACUGUGACAGCUGACAAUGAAGUGGCGUUUUUUUUUCAGCACCUCUCUAUAAAAAGCUGCCUCACCUGGGCAACCUGAGUGCCAGUUGUGCUAUUGUGUGUAGUAGAGGAGUGAAGAACCUGGUCAGGAGGCAAUU
rnacentral:lncRNA from 10 species